CGCGGCUCCCAUGGCAACAGGGACUAUAUAACCUGUGUCUAGCUGCUGCAGGCUUUAGCUGGAGCUGCUGCGAUCCAUCGGUCUCCAGGGAGCUGUGAUCUCCGCACACCAAGCACAGGGAGAAGCCAUCCAGCACCGCGUUGUUAUACCAGAGAGAUCUAGGGCCGGAUUAACCAAAACCCAUAAAGGAAUCACUCAGGAAGGAACCUAGCUAAUACAGAAGCUCAUUGGAACUGCACUGGAAAGCCAUUUCUGCCUGAACACGUUCAGGGCAGCAGGUGUGGGAGGCAGACACUUGGUCUCCAAGGGAGUUACCUGAAGCAUAAGCAAGAGGCAGGCUUAGGGUUUUGCUUUUCGGGUUAUUGCUGAGUAUAUGAGAGUAAGGAAGGGUGAUAUUACAAGAAAGCUUGGCUGAAGGGGCAGUGUGCGUACUGAGUUCUGAAUGCUGUGACGUUACCAGUCCUGUGUCAUUAACCCACAGAGGCAGAUAAGAAUGUGACCACCAGAGACAGAGAACAGGAGGAAUGCCUCACAGCUAGAAAUAUACACUCAUUAGCAGGUUCUCAGCAUGGAAAUUGCAGAAAAGAUCUCUGACAAUCCAGGUGGUUGAAUGGAGCAGAAAGCUGGAUGGGACAUACCUGAGUAUGGUUGCACAGCUCAACCUGCACGAUUCUCAAGCGUGCCCACAAAGAUCUCCAACCAUCCAAAAGAGAGAGAAGAUCCUUAUUAGAGACUGUAUGCUAAGAAGAAUGUAUAAGCAAGGUCUGAAUGAGCUCUCCCUGGACAUCUAGUGAUGAACGAGGGGCGAAGACUACAGGAACCAACCUUCUUUGCAUAGACUUGCCCACUCUGCCUAGGUGCACAGCAUG